UCCAAAGCGUAGAAUAGGACGAGUAAAUUUUUUAAGGUCAACAGAGAUAGAAGUUCAUAGGCUGAGAAACUUCUUUGAUACACUAAAUUGAAAACCCCCUAGGAGCUCAAUCCUGAAUUCUAGUAAGGAUUUGCGUUGGCUUACGUUACAGCUAUUAAAUAAUAUUUAUUUGUUAUUAGGUGGAAACGAGAAAAACACUCGUCCUAUUA
rnacentral:ncRNA from 1 species